CAAACUCACAGAGAUCCACCUGGCCCUGCCUCCUGAGUGCCGGGAUUAAAGGUGUGCACCACCACCACCCGGUGAGCCUAUGAAAUUUUUAACAAAUCGAUCUUAGCAACAUCUUUUUUCUGUCCUUGGAGCUAAUACAAGACAUGUUUCAAGGCAGUGCGAUAAUUUAAAGUUAGCUUCCAUGCUGGAAAUGUCUGAAAAUGUUUGAGAAUACCAUCAUAUUUAAAAUAAAUGAUACACAAGUCUUUUUUAAAAAUUUGAUUUUAAGGUCUUAAUUAAAAAAUGUUUCCAUAGUGUUUUGGGUUUUUAUGCUACUUUUACCUCAGAGCUAAUAACAGAACACUGAGGUAAGAAUGCCCAGUUCUGCCGGAGUGACGAGAAUGGGAAGAAAAUAGAAAUGUUUCCUUAAACGGUCUGUUUAGAAGACAUCUGCGUACUUUUGUUGCUUAUGUGUCUGCUCAUCCGCUCCACCCCCAUGGAAUCUCUGACGUGUUUAGCAUCGUAGGUGGUCUCACCUGCUCACAGUGCAGCAGCGCAUGCGUGCGUCUCUCCAUUCCCAUGCAACAUCUUUGCCACUGUGUUUCAUUGAAGGUUGGCUGCUAAUUGCUCAGGUUAUUACAAUAACCAGACUGCAUUGUAAGAAAAGACAGCGAGCAAAGGGGCUGUUGUUGAAGGCGUCCUUUCCGACAUAGCCUACGUUCUGGGAAUGUAGCUGGGUGAUAGGGUGUUUGCCCGGCAUGGAGGUGCCAUGGGGUCCCCACGUGGCCAGAAAUGAAACAGCAGCCAAAGAGAUUCUGCCCAGCUUUCCGAUUAAAAACAUCUUCAAUGGACUCCGUGACACUUGAGACAGCAGAGGUAGAGUUGGAGAGGAGUGGAGAGGCUACUUUCCAGGUAAGGUCACUGCCCAGAAAAACCAGGACAGCUGAACGGUCUGCUUUAUGGAUAAACUUGUGCUAUGCCAUGGCCAAUUCUGCAGUCACCUGGCCCAGGCUUGUACACGACACAGUUACAUGAGACAUAAUCACCAUAUCAUGAGGUGGCUGUUCGGGUCCUGGGACACAUCCCGCAGAGGAUCUCAGAUAUGACCACGUGAGGACCAGCUGCUCAACCGCCAGGCUUUCUAAGGCACCAGAGUCAGCACCAUGGAAGGUGUCCGGGAACACGAUCUAUAAUGGUUCCCUAAUACCUCUUCUUGUAGGGAAAUCUGGACAAUCUAGGGGGAUUCUUGUAUUCACAAGAGCUUUCAAAUGGUUGAAAUUACUUGAAGAUUUUUAAAAAUUCUCCGUAAGAGGCAGUUAUUGGUCAUCUCUGGGCAUUUUUUUUAACUUUAUGAACCUUGAGUGGGGGAUUUUAGGCAGUGGAACCUGGGGGUGGCCCACAGGAUGGAAGCUGGAGUGUGUCAGCCCUCAGUCCUGCGAUAGAUCCAGCAUUCUGGAUUUCAUAAUAACAAAUUUGUAUUUAGGAAAGUUUCCCCUUAUUCUAAGCUUAUGUUGAGUGAGAAACAACACAGGCUGGGUGGGCAGGGCUAUGGCUUAGUUCACACUGGUCCUAACUAGCAGACCAAAGGAAACUGAACCAGCAGGAAACCUCUGGGUCACAGGUAGGGAAGGUCCAAAUAAACACAGUGUCUGGUUUUAGUGUCUGGAAUCGAUGCUGAAUUGGGAUCCAGCUGACAGAAGGCAGGUUCAGACAAGGUCGACUCCACAAAGUUAAACCCUUCAGCCUCAGUGAGGCCAUGGCCAUACCACUCAGCAUCCGAACUGGGAGGCUCAGGGGGGAAGACCGCAGAUAUUGAUACGGACAUUGAAAUAGCUCUCAUGAGCAAUCAGAACACUCUCAAAGAUCAGAAUAUGGAUAAUAAUGACAAAAAUAAGUGAAUAGGCAGAUGUGUUGGGGGGCAUCUUAAUCCCAGAAUUGGGGACGUAGAGGCAGGAGACCUGUUGCAAGUUUGAGCUCUACAGGGAGUUUCAGGUCAAUCAGAGUUACAGAGCAAGACUGUAUCUCAAAAACCAACCUCUAAAUGAAAAUACUGGCGAGCACAGCUGGAUAGACUCCAUGGCAGGAUGGAGACAAAAGAGAAUCACCAGUCUGAACAGCAGAAAGAAGAGAUGAAAAGAGCUUCAUCGGUGCCCGUGGCAUGGGAGAUGAGAAAGACGGUGAAGGCGUUCAAAGAUGGGAAUGAGCAAUGGCUGGAAACGCAAUCUGAUGAAAGAUAAAACUAGAAGGGUCAAGAUGUUGCGUGAACUCCAUGUGGGAUAAACUCAAAGGGAUGCACUGAGCACCUGCCAUCCUAGCACCGGGAGACUAAGGCAAGAGGACCUGAGUUUGAGGCCACAUCUGGCUAAGUAGUGAGAUCCUGACUCACACAAAUACCCAUCCGGAUGCACCCUCCUCAAGCUGCCGAGAAGUAAGAUACCAGAAGUGCUCAAAGAAGACCGCAUGUUGCACUGACAGUUUGAACGAUGACACAUUCUUCACGGAGAUCCUGGAGGCCAGAGUGAAAAGAAACAUGUCACCUGGGGAUUCUGUAGCCAGAGCGGGGCAUGUUGGCACACACCAUAAUCCCAGCAUGAGGGGAAUUGAGGCAGGACUGCCAUGAGUAUGGGGCCAGCUGAGCUAGAGUGAGACCCUAUCUUAAAGGGGGGGCGUCUGAAAAGACUACAUUUUAUAAUGAGAUAAUACUAAAGAUUACAUUUUAUAAAGAGAUAAUACUAAAAAUGUUUAGCCUAAAGAAAGCAGGUUCAGAGAAGCUGAAAAGCAUUUUAAAAAUGCAAAAGAAGCCAAACAUAUCCGUGUAGACAGUGCCUUUUCAUGUUUCUAUGUCAACAGUGCUGUGACGAUGCCGAGAACUCCUGGGACCCACGUGACUGCAGAACGCGAGCAUCAUGCCCAGAGUGAUACGAGUAAGUGAAGACAGCCUGUGUCUAGCAGCUGUGUCGGACUGAGGCAAAGUCUGUGUGGACGGGCCCAGAGCUGGAUGAGUCGCCUACAGAUAGGAAUCUGAUGGGACUGGUAAGUUCAGGGUAAGAGCUGGACACUAGAGGUUACAGGUGAGAACCAGCCACAACGCAGGAAAGCCUGGUGAUGAUGAAGAGCCAACAGUCAGGAGCUCCAGCUCCCUUCCCCUUCAAUCACUCAAACUCCCAAGGACACAGUAUUACCAAGACACCAAUCCAGUCAAAAAAAAAAAGAAAAAAUAAGAUUAUGCAUUGUAUGUUUGUGGCUGUUGUAGAAUUAAACUAGAAAUUCAUGACAGAAGAUCUGGUCAGGUGGAAAUUAAAUGGCACACAUAUGAAACAUUGCCAAAGAGAAAGUCUCAAAGUUGGAGAAUGUUUUAAAUAAAAGAGAAAUGAAGUUUGGUCAUAUUAAAGUUUGCACAAGAAAAGCAGUACUCAGGAAAUAUUGCUUGUUAGGAAAGCAGGCUUUGCUGGGUGUGGUGAAACAUGCCUUUAAUCUCAGAACUCUUAAGACAGGCAGGUAGAUGGAUCUCUUUGAAUUUGAGGUCAUCCUAGUCUACAUAACAAGUUCUAGGGCUACACAGUGAGAUCCUGUCUCAAACAAAAACCAGACCAGUUUGAUAAUGAUAUACAGUAAGGCAUUUAUGUAUUCAAGAAGAGCUGCAGAGAAAUUUUGUGUGAUCCACCUCUACCCUCCAGCCUCUUUAGCUCAAGAUGGUUUUAAGGUCAUGCCAGCCUCCUGCUGCCCCAGUCUACUGAGAUGGAUGUGUGCCACUGCACCUGGCAGAAGGAUAAUGUGUGUGGUGUGGAGGUGCUGGGGAUCAAAUCCAGGCAGGGCCUCGCACACGUGGAAGGACACACUUUACUACCGAGCCCAAGUUUCCUCAUAAGCAGACUCCUUUGCUAGAGGUAGCGAGUUUGCUGAAAAUGACUACAAAACAACGUAAGAUGUGGAAAAAGAGGCACGUACGCCCUCACCACGGGAGACAGAGUGGAGGUCGAGGGUGAUGUGGAAGCCGAACAAGACAGGCAGGUUGACCUGGGCCCACGGCAGCUCUUGCACUGACCUCGGCUAAGAGCCUUGCAGUCCACAGAGCAGGACAGUGCGGUGUGCGUGAGACACUUGGUUCCACUUUAUUUCCAGAUGACAGUGAGUCCUUCAGGGGUAGCAUUUCAGGUGUGGGUCACAGACACGGUGUAGAAAGGGCAAGAGGGAUUAAAUAAGAAAUGCACUGGCUCUUAGCGCCAGAGUCCUCUGAUACUGAGUCGUGUGUAACCAACACGAUGAGAAAAACACGCUCACAUUCACAAACUGCAUUUCCUGUGAGUUGAAAGAAAAAAGCUUCAUUGAGAGCAGGAUUCUAUCAUGUCACACUGGCUCUGUGCGGGAGGAACGGGCCAGGCUGUGUGCAGCACAAGCUUGGUUUCACGGAACAGGAAGGGGUAGACGUGGGGCGGGGGUCUUUGCAUAUGUGUGGCAUCUAAAGGUCCUGUCCACUGAGUUAGUUUGCAGUGUGGCUGCUGAGCCCUGUCUGCCAGUGUGCACUGCGGCUUCCCCCAUGAAGAUCUGCUUCUGUGCGGGGUAGAAAAGGUGGCAGUAAAGACUCCAGACUCUUCAGGCUCCAGCAGCUGUGCCCCAGAAACCGCCACGGAACCUGAGAAACGUGAAGUGUGGUUAGACACCUGUGUGGCUGGAAAUGCGAAACAACUCACAGCCCAACGGACAGCAUGCAGGGCCUCCAGCACCCACCUGUGUUGCUGGCGUGCCUAGCAGCCACAUUCCUGUGCAUUUGGGGCCUGUGUACGCCGUGGUGACCGUAGCUGUCUCAGGGCAGCGUCUCCAUACUGGAUGCCAGAGCCCAUUCUCUCCGGGUCCAGCUCACCUGAGGACCAAGAAAAUGUCUAAGAGUCUGUAUUCAGGCAAGUGUGAUUGGCAUGCUGUUUAGGGGUGCUGUACUACAGUCUUGCUCCUGCAAGCAGCAGGGGGCACUGUUGAGCUACAGGGUAAAACCCACAGAUGAGGUCAGGGAAGACUGUUACCUGAUUCGAUUUUGUUCAGUAUUUUCCUUGCACACUGCAUGAAAGCCUCUUCGACGUUCUCACCAGUCAGUGCACUCGUUUCCAGGAACAUCAGCUCUAAAAGUGACAUUAAAGGAUACGGUGAGUCACGGUUAGAAGACAGCGAUCUUUACAUUUUUAAUUACUGCAUUUACUCAUUCACUUUGGAGAGAGUGUGAACUAUGGCGCAUGUGUGGUGGGAGAGAACACAUGGUAGGAGUUACUUCGCUCCUUCCACUAUGGGGGCCCCAGGGAUGGAACCUGGUCCUCAGGCCUGGAGGCAAGAGCCUUUGUCCACUGAGCCGUCUUGCUGGCCCAAUGACAGUGACUUUGAACUGCUAACAGCCUGCACAGCAUUCUCAUAGAGUGACAAGCAAAAUUCAGUCCAGUACCUAAAUCUAAUUUCUAUAAACAUAAAAUUAAUAUACAUAAAUCUACAUUUUUUGGUUUUUUUUUUUUUUUUUGAGGUAAGGUUUCAUAUAGUUGAGGCUGGUUUGAACUCUUGAUUUUUACCUCUUCUGUCUCCAGUGCUGGGAUUACAGGUACCAUCACAUCCGGGUACAUUAAUGUAUUAAGUAAUGGGGAAGUCAUUGAAGAAUGAUCAUUAUUAUGCCCUAAUUCCCGAGCUGACAAGAAGUAAGCACACUGGCUAAAACUGUGACCUACGGCCGCAAUUUCCUUCUCCAAGUGAUCUGCAGGUCUCCGUGAACGCAGACACGGAGCUGAUGCGUCACGGCAUUGCACUGCACACAAGCAGGACCCAUGACUGUCCGACCAGACAUAGCCCUGCUGCCCAGGAAAGCCGUCCGGUUUGAAAAUGUGUGCAUUUGGGUAUCCUAGAUACUGUUUACUAAUUUUGCUCUCCUCUAAGCAUUACCAGUUUUAAUUGGGGAGGCUGGGUAGAAGUCUCACUUGAUUUACUUUUACUAUUUUGUGUGCACGGGUGUUUUGUCUGCAUGUAUGUCUGUGUACUACGUGUGUGCCUAGUGCCAAAGGAGGUGGUGGGCUGGGAUUGAACCUGGUCCUUUGCAAAAACAAGUGCGCUUAGCCACUGAGCCAACUCUCGAGCCCUGACGUCAGGCUCCUUUAUCCCCAGAGCAGGGGCUGAUUCCAGUGGAAAGCCCGCUCCGUGCAUUAGCUGCACCACCACUAUUAGCCUCUGGUCUGUCCUGAUAAGGGACUUUCCUCGUUGUACUAAACAGCUCCUGCUUUCUAAGUAGCUCUAAAACGGCGGUUCUCAGCCUGUGAGCUAGGACCACUGGAAAGCAGAUAUUUAGAUUAUGAUUCAUAGCAGUAGCAAAAUUACAGGUAUUAAGUGGCAACAAAAACGAUUUUAUGACCGGGGGUUAGCACAGCAUGAGGAGCUGUAGUAAAGGUUCGCAGCAUUGGGAAGGUCGAGAGCGGCUGCUCUGAAGCACCCCAUGUACUAGUCUGCAUUGGGUCUGUCUUCUUCCUGCCCGCCCCUCCCCCCACUUUUGGAAACAGUUUCCUUCAAGCUUUUAGUAAUCCUUCUGCCUCUGCCUCCUAAAUACAAGGAUUACAGCCCCACCACACUGUGCCUGGCUUAUGUUUAUUUUUUUAGUAAAAACCCAUCAAACUGGGAAAACAGUUUUCUGUCUUUGAGUCCAAACAGAUGUGGCCAUAAGGAUCUAUUAGUGUGAGCUGGCUCUCAGAAUUAAGGCUCUUCCUGAAUGUUUAUCUCUAUAAACAAUGGAUAAUUUUGCAAUGCAGUUUAAACAUUAUUAAUUUUGUUACCUAGUCUACAUAGCGAGUUCUAGGGCAGCCAGGACUACAUACACAGAGUCUGUCUCAAAAAAAAAAAAAAAUCAAACAAAGAUUCGUUACCAUUAAACAAAUGACUUAAUAUAAGAAAAUGAAGCCAGCUUGUCAAGUGUGUCCUUUGCUUCCUUUCUAUGAGGGAUGACUACUUCACCAAUUAUGUUUCAAGGCACAUAAAAUGCAUGCCACCCUAAGAUGGCUAACAUCCCAGAGACCUGAAAGUCCUUACGGAAGGUAAAUACCUUGCUUUCCUCAGCACAUUGGCCUUUGUCCGAGCUGUGCUGAACUGUAUCUAAGUAGACGGGGGAGAUUCCACAGUUUCAUAAGAUGAUUUAAUCUCAAAACUCCACCAGAUGUUUUAAACCCAAAGAAAUGUCACUGUGCCCAGACCCACCCCCUGAUGAGAGGCUAUAAGAGAAGAAGUCACUUGCCGUUCUCUUGUGCGAACCUGGAGGCUUCGAGGAAGGUGACUUCACGGUCAGCAUCCAGGUCCUUCUUGUUCCCGCAGAGGAUGAUGACAAUGUUCUGACUCGCCAGCAUUCUGGCAUCUGUUAACCAAUUAGUAAGCGCAUUGUAGGUUUCUCGGCUGUGUAACAUAAGAUUGUGGAAAUAAUACAUGUAUUUUAUAAAACCAGCAACUCUUUCCAGUCAUCCUCACCAUGCACACUGCUUGUCAACAUUUCAGCAAGGGCAACGGGGCCUCAGAAGUGCCGUGGGAACCCAGUGAUACAUCAGGCCCACAGGCUGUGUUUAGCUUGUGUGACGACAAAGUCCGUGAGUCAGACAGUCUGGGUUCCAAAGGAAAGGGGUCUUUUCAUUCGCUUCACAAAUGCACCUGAGCCCUGAGAAUGUGCAAGGUACACGCCUGACUUGCAACACUCAUCACUGUCACCUGCAGAGUUGUGGGCACCUUGAUCCACAGGAGUCCACCACAUUGACUUUGCAAGGACGCUCCUGCCAUUAGGAGCUGGGGGCUCAGGGACAUGCAGGACUUCCUAGCUCUGUCUACCCAGGACCAACUCAGACCUACAGAUUGGCUCUCACAUUUAAGGACUGGCACAAGUGAUACCACACCCUGGUAGGUUGAGCCUCUCGUGGCACCGGGGGAGAGGAGGGUGGAGUCAGGAGUGUCACCCUCUCAGAAGAGAAAGACAACCAUGCGCUAUUCUCUUUUGGAUCAGAUUCUUCCCAGGAAGGGCCCCUUAGUGGAACCCUCUGGAUCACAUGCUUCCAGGACAAUGUUGCAAAUUCUGAGGCCAGUGCAUUGAUGAAAUAUCCACGAGGACAGGAAUGUGCUGCAAGCUGCGUUGGCCAAUUCUGUGGUUACCAGCCACAUGUGGCUCGGAGGAGUUGAAAUGUGGCCAGAGCAACCCAGGAAGAAGCUAAGUUGUUACAUGCAGCUAGUAACUGCAAUAAGUAUUUCACUAGUUGGUUUAAACCCACCCCCUUCCAUAGCUUUCUGAGGGUUCAAGUAUGUUACCCUCAUCUCAUAGUAGAUGAGGAAACCAAGACCCAAACAGGGAGAUCCAGGCCUACAGAGAUCACAAAGCCCCUGACUCGAGCUGGGAUCUGAACCCAGGUGAUCUGAGCCUGAAUCUGCAUCUUUAGCCCUUUGAUUCACUUCUGAGAACUCACAGAGCCCUGCAGACCUCAAGGAAUAUGUCCCACGUGGUGUGAAGGAGACCAGUAAGGCAGAAGGCUCGUUUCAGCCCCCAAGAGCUCACAAACAAACACUAAAGACCUCUAUGAAUCCCCUGGAAAGGGCCCAGAGGUUUGCUGGGUACAGCCAUGCUGCCUGUCUAGACCCAAGUGAAUCACACGUCUCACCAACAUGGAUGCAGAACACCAAGUAGUCUGUGGUGGGGAGUUGACUUUACCUGGUGAUGUCGUAGACGAGGAGAGCCCCAGCUGCACCUCUGUAGUAGCUUCUUGUCACAGACCUGAAGGAACGACAGGGCUUCUAACAAUCAAGUCCCUUUUCUUCUCCCCAUAAAAACCAUGCUUCCUCUGCAUGUGGUCCAAGUGUCCUUAGCUCUAUGUGGACACCACGCUCCAGGGAACCCUCACAUCUGUCUGCCACUUCCGGGUGUCCUGUGCUAUCUCCUCCCUUCUUCCCAGGAAAAGCCCAAGAUGGGAGCAGCCUAGAUCCCUGCCAGCGGUCCACAUCUACUCUUCACUCUACAAAGACUGGUCUUUUGUCUACUUCACAUUCUCAAUGAUCUGUUUUUCAGUAAAACAUUUUCUCUUCCGUAAUGCCAACUUCUCUCUCUCUCUCUGUGUUUGCUAGUUUGCUUUUUUAACUUUAUUAUUGCAUGUAUGAUGUUGGGGUGAGGCAUGUAUAUAGAAGUCAGACAAGAACUUUGUGAAGUCCUUACUUAUACCUUUGCAUGGGUUCUGGGGAUGAAAUUCAGAUUGCCAGGCUUGCCCAGCUUUUACCUACUGAGUCAUCCUGUUAGAUUUUUUUUUUAAUACUAGCAAAAUAACAUUUGCUUGGGCACCUCCUAUGUCUCACACUAUAUUGCUCAGGCUGGCCUUGAUCCCCUGAACUUAAGUGAUCCUCCUGUCU